UACGAAGGGGGCUAGCGUUGCUCGGAAUCACUGGGCUUAAAGCGCGUGUAGGCGGGAGGGCACGUCCGUUGCUGAAAUCCCCCGGCUCAACCGGGGAACGGGCGCGGAUACGACUCUCCUUGAGGGGCGUAGGGGGACCUGGAACUUCCGGUGGAGCGGUGAAAUGCGUUGAGAUCGGAAGGAACGCCCGUGGCGAAAGCGAGGUCCUGGACGCCUACUGACGCUGAGACGCGAAAGCCAGGGGAGCGAACGGG
rnacentral:rRNA from 1 species